UGCAGAGGAGUCUUAUGAAAUCAGAUGUGGUUUUAGAUGUCUGAAAGAGUUUCUUUAGGCUAAAGGCAGCCGAAGAUCAAUUGCACUGUUGGCAACUGUGCUUCCAGGUGGUUGGAGCCUCUCUUGAGGGACAGUUUCAACCCAGGGCCCAUUGCAAUGGUAGUACAGGAAAGGGCUUUCAUUUGCUUUUGGGCUAAGGACCUUCUGCUGCCUAGUUCCACAGUGAGAAGAGAAACUGGAGAUGAUGUGGGAGAGUGACAACAGCAUUAUUACUGCUGAUAUGAAGAAAAGAUGGAAACAGCCUCCGGAAGGUCAAGGUGAGACUGACCAACACCUGAUUGCUGGUAUUCACCAGCAGUAAUAAAUUCCUGAUCACAGGUGCUGGAAGUCUCUUCAGAGAAACAACAUUGCUGCAGGGGACAAACAACUAGUCCUGACCUUCUUUAUACAGCCAUUCUCUGGGAAAAAGUAUCCCCUGAAGUCAAUGUGGAUUCUGUCUAGCUUUCAUCAGAAGAAAAAUGCCCGGACUGAAAUGACAACAACAAAUAAUAGGUGCUGGUGAUUUGCACUCUCUCUACCUAAAUCAGAUAUCUGGCACAUCAAUACUUAGAAGGCUUAGGAGAAGAAGAAAACAUCAAUAUUUCACUGAACAAAAAAAGUUGCACAACUCCCCAGUCUUUAUUUUAAUGUCAGCUGUUAGUUCAUAGUUUUUCUUUUUUUUUCUGUAAGAUGAUUGAUUUCCACUGCUUUUUGAAUCCCACCUGUGCAAAUAGCUUGUUUUUCUCCCUAGCAAGUGUUAACAAGGAACUGCGAGGGUUUUGCUCAGGCUCAGUAGUCAGGCAGUCCUGGGGUGCCUGACUUCUAGGAAAAGCCACAGCAGGAACAAAUGAGAGCCAGCCUACGCACCAGGCACAGCUUUUGCUGGUCCUCAGCCUAUGUUCCAGCUCACACUGAUGGUGAAUGAAUCGCCGUUAGCAACUGCAACGCAGACCAACGCCAGGAGGACAGAUCCGGACGAGCUGGAUGCUUCAUCAUGGAGCUGCCCUUAGAAAGGAUGGCCCAUUAUAAGGCAGCUUCACCCUCCUCAACAGAGCCCACGGCAAUUUAGGACUUGCUCUGCUCUAGUCUGUGCAAUUUCAUCCUUUGUGUGAACCAGAUCAUGCAACUGGGGGCACCGGAGUCACAGGGAAGUCGAGUUCCACACGAGGGCUGGCAUGAGAAGGAGCAGCAAUUAGCUCUAAAUUCACUCUUACCAGCAUGUCAUUUCUGUGCUCUUCCCUGCUGCUCUGCAACUGGAAGCCUUGUGCUCUAGAAGAAGGGGAGAAGAACAUUUUGCUCAUGCUCAUAUUAAUCAAGUCAUCUUGUGAGCUGCUGAAUCUGUGAAAUUGUAUCUCCCAUGGAGUUCAGUGGUAAUGACUGUCUUCGAUGUGGACUCUCUGGUGUCUAAUAAUACAGUUAUAUUUCUGCAGUGGAUGCACUCCCAGCAUUUUUUCUCCUCUGCCUGCCUACUUCCACAGCACUUGUAGGCAGCUCAAACCUUUGAGACUUCUAUCCCCUGUCAAGUUUGAUCAAACUCAGUUCACAGGCUCAAAAAUUAUUUAGGAGGGACCGACUGGCACUUGCAUAGACAGUGUGAUCUCAUAAGCUUCCUUUCCUUGGGAAACUAGGCUACCAACCUAGCAACGGGGUGAAAAAAAAGCCAUCCUGCUAGCAAAGAGGACCUAAACACCAGGAGGAAAGAGGGGAGGUGGGAGAGGAAAGUAAAGCUAUUUUGAAGGGCAAAAAAUUGCUGCCUGGUGGCUGCAGAGCUCUCACACACUUAAAGGGCCAGCCUUGGAGAUACAUGCUGGAGAAAAUAUUCUCCACGAGAUGGAAAGUUUUCUCAUGAAAAUUGGUAAGGGAAAGAGAUGACCUGGAUUCAUCUCACCACCUGGCAUGCUGAAUGGAUAUCUCUAUGGCAAGGAUUGUCUCUGGUGACACUCGUUCCUCCCUGUGGAUUAGAAGAAGACACAGACACAAUUAGCAUGCAACCUGUAUGCCUGCAGCAUCUAAAGCGAGGUGUGUUCUGUCCCAAAGGGAAUUAUCUUCUUCCCACUCUCUCCUUCAGACCAAAGUUUUCCAUGGUGCUGCUGCAGGGUUUGUUACUUCAUGUACUACAUUUGUAUUUUAGAAAAGCUGCUGUGUGUCUUAAGAGCUGCAGAUGUAUGCAUGGUUUUACUGGGCAUUUAUUAUCACGUAUCCUCUUUGCACUGAAACCUUUCCUGUCCUUGUAUCUUACGGAAUAAAAUUCUUUAAGUGAGCUUUAA